UUCGGCACGAAUCUAGUAAAUAAAUAAAUAGUAACAAUGAAUAUAAAACAAACCAUAGACAAAACAAAACAAUACGAGAAUAUCAAGACAAAAGACAUAGACAAAAACUUGUGAAUAAUAAAAAGUUGACCAGUGAGCGUCUCAGAUCAUAGACCGAGCGCGGCAAGUGAAAUGUCAGAAAUGUGUCAAAGAUCUAGCUAGGUUAACCGGCUAAUUCAAUUGCACGAGAGAUAUUUUGUUAUGCAAUUAUAUUGGCGGAAAUUGUAUCGAGUGAUGUAAUAAGUGUAUUGUGUUGUGAGGUUGUGAGUGGAUAUGUUUAUUGUGUGAAUCAUAAGUAUUAGUGUGGUGUGGGGCGAACAUGUUAAAGCCAACCCGUAGCGGAUGAUCAUGCGAUACAGUGUGUGAAAUGCUUUCCAAGGAUAAUUCAAGAUUUUCACGUCCAAGUCAUAAAAAUGGAUCCGAUUUGUUCAAAACAAUCGCUGUGAAGAGACCUGGCUACCAUCCGAUGAUAGUUACAUAUAUUCGUUCCAUUUUCAUGAGGAUGAUAAGUAUGUUACGAAAGGGGGAAGGCAUUUUCUAAAGAAGUCUGCUGUGCCCUAUGAUGAUCAAGACAAUUUGUGUCAUGGAGCCAUUGAGCCGAUUUCAGAACCUGUCAGUGAGUCCGAAUCGGUUGUUGAUACCCCAAGAAAAAUCAUCCUGAGACGUCAAAUUCGGAACAUGAUGUCGGCUAAAAAAAAAAUAUGAAAAAAUUUAAGAAAGUUCAACGCCAAAAUAGAAAUCUUAAGAAAAUAAUAUAUUCAUUAAAGCUCCUUGUAAAUUCAUUAAAA